CGGGACCUCAGCCGUGCGGUGAAGGUCGCGGCUGCGGGUCGGGAGCGUUGCGGCCUACGGGGAGCGAAAGCAAAAGCAGAGCCCAGGCCGGGCAGGAGGAGCCUUCCGCUGAGCGACGGCAGGGCUGCGGACCGCAGCUGGGCGGCUCUCCGGGCACAGGGGCGGCUGCUGCCGUCGGUCUGCGCUCGCAGGUUUGAGGCCGGUGCCGAAAGCCGAACAAAACGUGGAAGACCCCCUACGUCCCCUGGGGAAAGUCAGCGACUGCCCCCUCCUCUCAUGGCAUUUCACUGCUAAAUCAAAAGCCAGUGCAGCAGAGGAGGAUGAAAGGAGAUAACGACUUUCACAGACUGGGCCGUGAACGUGAGGGAAUGGGACCUGCAAAGGAUCAGCAGAGAUUUUGAGAGCUGAAGAUUGUCACGGGCAUCACCAGAAUGAACAGAAUUAGUGGGUUAUAGUGUGUGAGCACAAAGUCUUUCUCACUGCCCUCUUACUCUUCCCCGUCCCUGACUUCAAGGUACAGAACCUUCUAUCAUGUCCCUCAUCUUCAUGCAGGAUCUUCUUCCCUUUUUGUUGCUGGAGAACAACAUGACCUCCUCCUGCUAACUCCUGGACCUUUAUUUAGUCCAUCUCUCUGAGCUAUGAGGCCAGCAGAAGCUCCUGUGUAUCCUGCUGUCUGUGGGACAACACCUAUCGCAGUGGGCAGGGGCUGGGUCCCUCAGUGUGAAGAAGUGGCAGAUGAGAGCUGGCUAGAAGGGCUGGAAAGGCAGUGUACUGGGGAACCCUCCUGCCAUGAUAAAGGCAGUAACUGUUCUUUGUAUGCCAACCAAAUGGAAACUGAAAACGCUAUAAUAAAACCAACAGUAAGUGACUUUCAAGAUUGGAAAACAGGUUUACAAGAUACAGUUUUUUCACAGAUAGGAAUCUCAGCUCACAGAAAGAUUAAAUCCACAGCAUGCUCUGUCUUGCACUGGAGUUCCCCAGGCUUGAGCUGGGAGCUCAACCUUGUGCUGCGUGGAAAUGCAUGAAGAAAGAUCUGUGUUCUAAGGAAACAAAGUUCCAGGCUGGGACAACAUAGUCAAUAAGACAAAGACCCAGCCAUCUCUCUGAUCAUCUGGGUGACUUGGACUGUAGCACAAGUAAGGACUUGAAUGAGAUCUUCUGCCAAAAUGCCUUCGGGAGAGAUGAAUUCUGCUACGGAUUUCCUAUCACUCUGAAUGGAUAUUUUAUUGCCACCAGACUUUUAAGCAGGCAUUUAGCCUCUUCCCUUAUCUGAAAUUUGCCAGGUGAACUGUACUUCAGAAGUGCCUAAUGUGCUCCAUAAAGGAAAAGGCAACCCAGGUGACCAGCAUGGACUGACACUAUGAUGCUGUAAAGAUAGGUGAGAUGAAUCCCACCGCUGUAUGGUGUUCUCAACAGGGAAGGCAGAAUUGCUUAAAAAGAACGAAACAAAUCUGGAAUUCAGGCUUUAUGAAACAAGUCAGUGUGUAACAGGGGCUGCUUUCUGUAAUAAAUACCUCCUGUUUCGUUUUGACCGCAACUCCAUCUGUCUGACAAUCCCUAAUUAUCAGGUCUGACUCUUACCCAGCUGGAACACUUUUUUCUCAGCACUGUGGGGGGAGUGCUGACUUCCAUUACGGUAACAAUGAACUCCCAGAGCACCUAUAGAGAGGUGGACUUCAGAGAUUUUAUUCUUAGAGUGUCAUGGAUAAAUCUUGAAUCCAUUGAAGUCAAUGAAAAACUCAAACCAACUUCUGCUGGGCUAGAAUUUCUGCCUGGGUCUCAAAUAAACAGGAAUUGGCAUCCUGAAGAGAUUUUUGCAGACUGUGUAUCUAUCUGUCAAACUCUGUUUCCCAUUUAAUUCUGAUUUUAUACUGCAAAGAUAUAGAAGUUCCAAGAAGCUUUCAGGCUUUCAGUCAGAAUGAGGCUAUUGAAAAACAUGACCUUUUCUUCAAAAGCCACUACCUGCAGUGGCUGUUGACUGCCACUGUGAAUACUGACCUCACAGCAAAGUGCUAGACAUCACUGAACAGCACAGGGUGUUGUGUUCUUUACAAUCACAUAGAGAAUAUAUUUAAAUUCCUAUUGCCUCAGAGGGGAAAUUGCCAUCUCUCAAGGCUUACAGCACCCCUGAAGAAAGACCUUCUACUUUUAGUAACUCCUGAGGUCAUAACUGGUCGCAUCUGUAGCCACUAGAAUUCACAGUAAUGUCACAUGUGUCCAUAUUCACCAUAAAAGCUAAUACUUUUGCAUGUGCAAUGUAUACUCAGACUGCUGCUUCAAGUAGAGAUGCCCUUUUAAGUCAUUCUCUUGAUUCCUAAGACCUCUCAUAAAUCUUUUUAGAUUGACGGGCAAAUAAACCUAACAUAAAAAAAUGACAGCCUGCAAUAUCAGAUUAGCAAACUGGAUGCUAGAAGGCAGGUAUUUGGUUUGCUGCCAGAAACUGCAGCCACUCAGCUAAAACAAUUCUGUCAGAAAUAUACUUCCGCAAGAAUUUUCAUUGAGUCUGUUAAUUAGACUUAGCAACGCUCACAUUAGCAGGACUUCCAAGUCAAUAACAAUCCUCCACUAAGUAUGGAUCCGUAGUGUGAAUAAAUGCAAAAUCUGGGCCCUUCUUUUGAAACAAUCGGAGUUUAGUGCAUAAAGAGGCCAUUAGGGCCAUUAUGCCGUAGCUGCGUUAAAAGCACAACCUUGCUUCUGAAGCUCCCGUAGCAAAUAAUGGCUGUACCAGUCUUAUCUCUUCCAGGAGCAGUUGGCCUCUGUCGGAAAGUGCUGACCUACAGAAAAAAAGCUGCAACGAAAAACAAUACCCUUUCCUAUUUAUUUAGCACUUUCUGUUUUUGUAACACUGUCUUUAUCAGUUUGGCAGCAUGAGAAUGUGUAUUGUUCCCUUCUCAAAACCGGGAAAACUGAUGCAAAAAUUAUGUUUUGGCUUCUGAUUCACAUUCAGAUCAACGUCAAAACAGAAGUUCAGGACUUGUUGACCUUUUUUUUUUUUCGAGCCUUAAUUUUUUCUGGAUCUUUUAAAUCAGAUAUGAUUCAAAAAUGCUUUCAGCAAACCUGUGAAAAUGGUGAGAAGUAUGUAACAUAUACUGACAGGUUCUAGGCUGGUGCAGCCAACUCUGUAGCCAUGUGGUAAAACAGAACUGAACUGGCUAGGGAAAAAAAACAACAACAAAUAGAAAAGAGAAAACGGAGUCUAGUUUCUUAAUGAGGUUACUUUUCAUAUUUGCAGCAGGGAGCACCCUAAACAACUGAGGGUGUGUGCAGGGACAGAGGUGGGAAGCAAAGAAGAUAUCUGCAUAAGCCACUACUGCUGAUAAGAAGAUGAGAAUUCAUCUUAGACUGUUGCCUUAUUAUCCCAGGCUUCACUAUUAAGUACCUGUUGGAGCAAGUCCUGAAGCAAAGGGUGGAACUGAAAUUGUACCCCAAAAUAACACCCAACUAUCCCUAAUCUAACUCUCCAACACGUUCCUGCAUGCGAUCAUGGUGACAGUACACCCAAGGGACAGUCUGCUUUCAAAUAUCCGGUAAUUUCUGGAUGUCACAAUAAGGCAGUGCUUGGAAAAGAUUAGUUGAAACAUUUGUUUGAAGGAACAUCUACUUUGCCUCAGUUUGUGUGCAAACUGAAACACAGAAAUUAAUCUUUAAAUCUAGUUUUAGGUUAUGUGCAGUGGCUCAGCUGUAACCUGGCUAUGGUUAGAUAGGAAAUUCUCACAUCACAAGAAGCUAAGGGUAAAAGUCAGGACAUGAUCUAGUGAGUUUUUUGCAUUCCUAAGUUCUGCAGUGCACUAAAAAAAAAAAAAAACUUAAAAGGACAUAAAGGAUGAAGAGGCAUAACAUGAGUUAUCAUGUUCCCCUUUUUUCCUGAGUCCUGAAAGACAAGUACCAGGGUGUAGAUGUUUGCCUAUUUACACAUGUAAAUAAUACUAUUCCAGUUGACAAUCUGUGCUUAGUGAAGCUAACAGUGACCUCAGCUAUAUAAGCUAAACAUGCAAAUCACUUUAUAAAUAUGGCCGUGUAUAAUAAAUGGGUCUCACUGAUGAUAUUUUGUCACAAGAGUGCACCAAAAUGUAAGUUUGUGUCAUAUAUAAACAAUGAAGUUUACUAUAGCUAGGCUGUGUGCUAUCUGAAAGCAGAGUUCAGGAUCCAGUUACCACCAGAUUUUCCUGUAUUUUGAUCAAAAUUCUUCUUCGAGACCAAAAGCACUUUAAAUUCAAAAAACAUAUUAUCCAUUACGUGUAAUUAAGAGUACCUUCAGGUCCUACAGGGAAGAGGGCACUCCUUUCACACCUCCCCUCACUUCUGGAUGUGCAGCUUUCCUGUAACAUGAGAAUCACAUUUUGGCCUACCAACAAAAUUUGUUUAUGGUUGUCUAUGGCUGUUUAAAGUGAAAAUUGAUUCUCUAAAUGUAACAUGUGGUUUAUCCUUGCAAAGGUCAGUAGCAAGCAUAGAUUGGUUACAAAGAUUCAUAUCUAAUUAAACAUGU